GACUGGAACCUCUAGAACAUGAACCAAAAUAAACCUUUUCUCUUUGUAAGUUUAUUGCCCAAGGUAUUUCAUUAUAGUAUUGCAAGACUGACUAACACAAUUGAAAUGGGCCCUAUUCCAAUAUGACUAGUAUCUUUAUAAGAAGUUGAAAGAAGACAAAGAGAAACAUGAGGAAGAUGCCAUGUGAGGAUGGAAACAGAGAUUGAUGGAUGUGAUACUGUAAGCCAAGUGGAGCCUUAAUGCUAAGGAACAGCAAGGACUGCUGGCAACACCAGAAGCUAAGAGAAAGACAUGGGUUAGUGUCUGUCCUAGAGCCUUCAGAGUGCAUGUUCCUGUGGACAACUUGACUUCAGACUUCUAACCUUGAGAAUUACAAGUUUAUGGUAUUUGUUAUAGAAGCUCUCAGAUGCUAAUAUGCUUCCGAUUCUUUGGACACACAGUUGGCAGUGGCUAAGGAUUCUGGGUGGCUGCCUGUGCAGAAGGGGAAAAACAAGAGAUAAAAAGAGAUGAGAUAUAGACCAGUAGAAAGUGAGUUGUUCUGGUACUGCUGAACCCCAGUUCUAAUCUUUUGGCCUGCUUCCUGUAGCAGUUCUUCCUGUGGCACCAAUUAACCUGUCUCAGAGUUUUCUAACCAGGUCACCAAUGGAAAUAAAUUCAUUAUCCUGAGACCAGUUCCUUCAGACUGGGCUAAGGUGGGAAGCCUACUUCCAGUUGCAACCACGGUCAGUUAAAUUUGAGAUCAUCCCUGUGAGCUCUUACACAGUACCAUUUUUUGUGUGUUCCAAGACAUGAAAAAGAUGCGAAGUGCCAACUUAUCUCCACAGCCUUCCUACUGUUAUGAACCCAUAGUUCCUGUUUUUGCUGACAUUUUAUUGACCUGGAUUUCCAACAUUUGCAAUUCAAAAAAUCCCAGUUUCUUCAGUAUGAUCAGCUACAAAUAUGUUAAGCAUUUGGAGUAUGUCUGCUAAAAAUUAUUGAGGCUGAAGUUUCAGAUACUGAUAAUACUGUGUAUUGGCGAGAGUGCACAGCAACUGAAAGUCUUGUAUGAUACUUAGUAUAAAAAUUAGUACUUUGGAAAUCCACAUGAUAGUUACUGUAAAGUUAACCAAUUAUUUCGCUAUUAGUUAUAGACCCAAGAGAAAUGAAUGUAUAUGUCCAUAAAAAGACUUACCAGUUUAGAGAAGAAUUAUUCCUAAUAAUUGAUGACUUGGAACAGCUCAAAUGCUCCAGCAACCAGUAAUGGAUAAGUGAAUUGUUAUAUAUUUACAUAAUAUUUUUAUAUAAUUAAUAGAAAAGAAUGAAUCAUGGAAAUAGAUGAAUCAAGAUACAGAUGAAUCAGAGAUACAAAGGGUAGACUGUGCAAUCCCAUUUAUGUGAUGUUCCAGAAGAGCACACCCUUGUCAAUUUUUAUGCCUGUCAAAGUGGGGAGUGGGCAGUGGAAGGUGGGUGG
rnacentral:lncRNA from 1 species